GGGCGUAGUUCAGUGGUAGAACAUCAGCUUCCCAAGCUGAAUAUGAGGGUUCGAUUCCCUUCGCCC
rnacentral:tRNA from 1 species